UACAGAGGUCUCAAGCGUUGUUCGGAUUCAUUGGGCGUAAAGGGUGCGUAGGCGGCGCGGUAAGUCGGGUGUGAAAUCUCGGAGCUUAACUCCGAAACUGCAUUCGAUACUGCCGUGCUUGAGGACUGGAGAGGAGACUGGAAUUUACGGUGUAGAGGUGAAAUUCGUAGAUAUCGAGAGGAACACCGGUGGCGAAGGCGGCCUUCUGGACAGUGACUGACGCUGAGACGCGAAAGCGUGGGGAGCAAACAGG
rnacentral:rRNA from 1 species